GGGUUGUGAGGUUAAGCGACUAAGCGUACACGGUGGAUGCCCUGGCAGUCAGAGGCGAUGAAGGACGUGCUAAUCUGCGAUAAGCGUCGGUAAGGUGAUAUGAACCGUUAUAACCGGCGAUUUCCGAAUGGGGAAACCCAGUGUGAUUCGUCACACUAUCAUUAACUGAAUCCAUAGGUUAAUGAGGCGAACCGGGGGAACUGAAACAUCUAAGUACCCCGAGGAAAAGAAAUCAACCGAGAUUCCCCCAGUAGCGGCGAGCGAACGGGGAGCAGCCCAGAGCCUGAAUCAGUGUGUGUGUUAGU
rnacentral:rRNA from 1 species